AAUCACUCAUUCUCCUUGAGCUACUUGUCGAUCUGCAUCUCCCUCUUUUCCACGCUCGAUAUUCGAUCUCCAGUAGUCCCACUCCCCAAUUUCUAGGGCUCAUUAACAUCCAUACAUACAAGGACAAGCAAAUUUCUCUCAGGUAGGGCUACAUAUUUCCUUUUCGUUUUCCUGAGAGAGAGAGAAUUGAAGAAGGAAUCAUCGCGCAACCAACUUACAGAACUUUACUGCCUCUUUUUUAUUUUUAUUUUCCUUUUUGGAUUUGUUAGACAUUUUGUUAAAGUCGUUGCUCCCCCGCAUUAAGCGAGUGGCUAGGUUUAGUCGAGUACUGGUUAACUGAUGUCUAUCUCAGGAAUUUCAAAUAUUUACCAUGUUCUUAAUAAUUUGUUAUCUUAAAAGUGGUUGGGAUUCGACUCGUGUUGCUCGUACUUCUUAUUCGAAUAUAGUGCCAAUGUUAUUCAAGUUUAUGACGCACAUUAGGACGUUUAUGUGUUGUAAUUUGAGUUUCCAUUGCUAGAACUUUGUAUCAUUGGGAGUUGCGUCUUUGCAGUGGGUUGACAUUGAAAAGGGAAGCAAAAUCUAUUCGUAUGUUGAAAUCUUGUUUUAGUGUUGGAAUGAUGGUGCUGGCAUGUUGCAUCCUUAGUGCCUGACUUAGAGUUGUGAAAAGAUUUUCACGAGAAGUUAUAGCACUAAGCUAUGUAUGGAAGAGCGGGUCUUGAUCGUUUCAGGAAAGCACAGUCUUCGGAACCUUUUGCAGUCACUGCUACUUCUGCCACUAAAACAGCCAUACCACCUGGUUUAGGAGAAGCUGUCCAUCCUACAGUAGUUUCCGGUAAUCAAGCUCAAGGAUCAUAUCUGCAGAACCAACAUCUAAGUUCUCAGAAUGUGGUAAAAAGACCUUUCACAACGGAUGCACCCCCAACUUCGGUUCCAACUCAGCAUGCGACACCGGUUGGAGGGGGACACUCAACUUGGCAGCCUCCUGAUUGGGCAAUUGAGCCUCGCCCUGGUGUUUAUUAUCUUGAAGUUUUGAAGGACGGGGAGGUUCUUGAUCGGAUUAAUUUGGAUAAGAGGAGGCAUAUCUUUGGUCGGCAGUUCCAUGCUUGUGAUUUUGUGCUUGAUCAUCAGUCUGUCUCACGUCAGCAUGCAGCUGUUAUUCCACACAAAGAUGGCAGCAUAUAUGUGAUUGACUUGGGCUCUGCGCAUGGUACAUUUGUUGCUAAUGAGCGAUUGGCCAAAGACUCCCCUGUGGAGCUAGAGGCUGGGCAGUCUCUGCGGUUUGCUGCUUCCACCAGAACAUAUGUCUUGAGGAAGAACAAUGAUGCUCUUUUCCCUCCACCUCCACAACCCUCAGAGAUUGAUUUGCCACCUCCUCCAGAUCCUUCUGAUGAAGAAGCAGUUCUAGCCUACAAUACAUUUAUUAACCGUUCUUUGAAUGGGUUGGUGACACCCAACACAUUAUCUAAUUCGACAAAUUCAAGUAGCUCGUCAGUUAACACGGAUGGCAGACAGCUAACUGAGAGAGCAUCUAAGAGGAUCAGGAGAACAAGAGUGGCAUUUAGGGACCAGGUUGGGGGUGAGCUCGUUGAAAUUGUUGGAUUUUCUGAUGGAGCUGAUGUGGAGACGGAACCUGGUCCUAUGGGUGUGAAAGAAGGAAGUCUCGUUGGGAAGUACGAAUCGCUCGUACAGAUUACAGUAAUACCUAAAGGGAAGGAGCAUACCCCUGCGAAGCAAACUACCAGUUCUGAAACAGGUGUGACGGAGAAACUUCAACAAGUCUUGAACAAGGUCAAGGCUCCUGCCAAGAGUGGUGGUAUAUAUGAUGAUCUUUAUGGAGAGUCAUUUUCUGUCCAAGUUGGCUCUUCUUGGGCACAUAAGCCUGUUGCAUCUGGUAGUAGGGAAGCUUCUCCUAGUAUAAUUGGAGGAAAUACAUCUGGAUCUGAAAGUAAUUUAGUCAACAAUGAUGAUGAUGACGAUGAUCUAUUUGGCUAAGCAGAAUGCUUAUUUUUUGAGUUACAAUUGUUCUCCUUAAAGAACACUAUUUUUAUUCCGGAGCAGGUUUUCAAAGUUUGUGAGUUACCAUACAAGGAUUUUGAAGCUGUACAAAUUGGAGGUUUCUGAAGGCAAGCGUUGCAUGCUAGGUUUUUCGCUUGGUUAUUUCUUAUUAGCCAAAGGUUGUUCUCAUCUUUGGGCUGUUUUACGAGUGUUAAUUAAGUAAAGCCAAAUAGCCAAUUGACCUAGUUACGUGUAUGGUCAUUUCUUUUGAUCUAAAUGUGAAACUAAAUAUAGUUUCAAGGUUAGUUUUUAAAAUUAGGCAAUGAUUUGGCUAUGACUGGAGUAUAAUGCGUGUAAAAAUCCUUCCAGACAGUCAGUUUUAGAUAAUUUAUUGCUGAAGUCCUUAAAUGCAAAUGCAGGUUUUCCUUAAGAAAGAAGAAGAGGCCCGUCCCCUCUUCAGUAUCACUGAAAAAGUUAAUUGCUUAAAUACUCACACACACACAUAUAUAUAUGUUCCUGAUAUUAACCCUAACAAGGCCUAGGCACCUACUUAUCAUGUGUAACUCAAACUCGGCUGCUGUUUGUUACUGUUUUCAUUACAAAGUACUGGAUUUUUAUAUCGCAGUGGCAAUGUGGCAUGGUAGAUAUUUUCUACAAUAAUCACUCUCAAGUCAUAAUAUACAACUAUAGUGCCCCUCAGCUGAAACUUUUUUAUAAUUGUCCAUGAAUGAGAUUUGUUGAGGAUCUGAGAUGGUCCUUCUCAGUGGUUCUGGAGGUAGAUUGAUCUUGUCAUCACCUUCCAAAACCUGUUCAGAUUAGGAAAUGAGAAUAUACUUUAACAUACCUAGCAUGAUGUUCAAUUUUUGGCAAAGCUCAAACAGCUGGCUCAGAAUAUAGUCUUUGUGGGCCUGGUAAAGAAGACUAAAACAGAAAAUUAGUGGUGUUUGCUAAUUUCCUGUUAAUGUUCUAAACUGCACUUGUUCAACCUUUGGUUUGAAGACUUACAAAUAACAUGAAUGACUGUCUUAACUGUAGAUGAUGAAAUUAUUAAUUAGGUUGAAGAAUGAGCUUUUCUGAUUGCUUCAAAAUAGUCUAUUGGAACUUACCUGUCCCGUUGGACGUGUUUUAACACCUGCCCCAUUGUUCUUUAAAGUAGUUGUUCCCAUCUGGUGAGCAGCAUCCUCUUCCGUUUCUGUAAUCUGUUUAUAUCUCCUCUUGAUGUAUUUCCUGCUAGUAGUCCUGUUGCCAUUUUCCUCCAUGUGUUCCUGCCGCCGCAAGUUCUUCCGUCCUGCACCAGGAGUUCUGAAAGAUUUCAUGACCGAAUGAAACACAGUUUCAGCGCUACGACUGCCAAUAAUCUGAUCAGCUACUCCGUGACAAUUGAGAUCACCAUAUCUUAUGCGGGUCACCCUGCUGUUGUUGCCUCCUGCUCCCUCAUGGGAGUUUGUGUUCACAGUUGGACAGGAGUCUGGAAAGCUUCCAGUGUCAGUUUGGUUCAUGUCCACAGUUAUUUCAUCAAACGUAAUGUCAGACAAGUGAAAUUCUUCAUCAAAGUUGAAGUCAUGAGCAGAUUGGUCCUGAUGUGGAGGUACCGUGUUUUCGGGCUUGUUCAAAUCUACAGGUGAAGUCUCUCCUCUACUAGUGAUAUAUAUGUCGAUAAGGUCUUCGAGUGGCAUGGCACCAGUCCUACUUGCUCCUGACAUUCUCUGAAAAUCAUUGAAAUCUCGCACUAUUUUUUCUAAGUUAUCGUCGAGGACUUCAUGGUAUGCCAACUUACUUGCGUUGUUAUUGACAGGCUCCAUUUGAAUAUGCCUUGAUAGCAAUUCAGAUUUUGGGAAUCAAAACCCACUGCAAAUCAAUUGAACUGUGAUGUACUAUAAAUUUUGAAGGUCUGUAAUGGUGUUUUAGAUGAAGUUUAACUAGCUUUGUUGUAUCAAUUUAUUUCCUGCAAAAACUAAA